AGCGAACGCUGGCGGCAGGCUUAACACAUGCAAGUCGAGCGGGCACCUUUCGGGGUGUCAGCGGCGGACGGGUGAGUAACGCGUGGGAACGUGCCCUCUGGUUCGGAAUAACUCAGGGAAACUUGAGCUAAUUCCGGAUACGCCCUUUUGGGGAAAGGCUUGCUGCCGGAGGAUCGGCCCGCGUCUGAUUAGCUAGUUGGUGAGGUAACGGCUCACCAAGGCGACGAUCAGUAGCUGGUCUGAGAGGAUGAUCAGCCACACUGGGACUGAGACACGGCCCAGACUCCUACGGGAGGCAGCAGUGGGGAAUAUUGGACAAUGGGCGCAAGCCUGAUCCAGCCAUGCCGCGUGAGUGAUGAAGGCCUUAGGGUUGUAAAGCUCUUUUAUCCGGGACGAUAAUGACGGUACCGGAGGAAUAAGCCCCGGCUAACUUCGUG
rnacentral:rRNA from 1 species